UAUAAAAGCUGAACCCCUUUGCCGUAAGGAGAGUAUUUUGGAUACUGUUACUCCUUCAGUUUACUCCAAUCAGCUUUAGCCACGAUAGGUUUUUCACUGUUCAUAGAGGAAACGAAGUCUGUAGAUGGUCAAGCAUGUCUCUCCCUUCUCAUUUUUUUUCCCGUGUGAAAUUCGGAUUGACUGGCUGGUAUCCGGUAGCAUAUCUUAUCCUUCCGGUAAUCCUGCUAUCAGUUUAAUUUUUUUUCCUCUUUUACACCUGUGAAUCCCGGUGCUCCGGUAGAUCAUGCCUCCGUGGGUUCGGUCAAAGCGGUGAUAGGGGCCCACCACCGAACAAACCAGAAACUCUGCCCAAUUCCCUCACGACCUUCCUCAUUGGCCCUCUCCCUACCCAAUUUCCACCUCCACCGGCCUUCCCUGGGAGCUUCUCUCUCAUCCAGAGCACAUCGCCGGUCCGGCCAUCCGCCGCCACGGCAGAGAUGACCAAAGGGUACUACACCUGCGUCUUUGAGGUCUUCGCCAGUCCCGCCGUCCGCUGCUACAGCCAUGGACCAUGAGCUGUACCUGGAGGAGCAACGCCGGAAGCGUUACCUCGCGUAGGUGGGAGCCAGGCCAAGGGGAGCAGAGGAAGGUGAGGCCGCUGCCAGCAACGCAAGGACAACAACAGCCGGUGCAGUAUGGCUCCGGGGCGAGCAUGCCGGUGAGCCCACCGACAAGCAGCGUCGAAACUCCACCGUCCAGCAGUGCCGAGCAAAUUUGCAGAACCUCUCUUCGCGUCUUCAGAUCUUCCAAUUCUGGCCACGCAAUAUAAUCUACAAGACAAUCAAAUUGAAAAGGUUGGUUUCGGUGCAGCUGAGCCAAAUUUGGAGUGCUUGCAGAUUUCAAACCACAAGUUUCCGUCUGAUAGACAACAUAUUUGUUUCUGACCAGAGAUAAAUCUAUUUUUUUGCAGAACCAAACAACUAUGUCUUUUAUCUUUUGAGCAUUUAGAAUACUUAGUUAAUAGGUGUAUACAUUUUAUGUUGCUUGGAGAUAACCUUACGUAUGUUAAAUAGCAGAUGAAGCCCUUACUGAACUGUUGCUCAUCAAUUCUUGUGGGGAAGACUUACAUAACAGAAUGCACUAUUAUAACUAGGUUGCCUUUUUUGUUUGUUUCAGAUACACUACUAAUAUUUGAAUGCAUUUUCGAUUAGUGUUAUUAUGCACAAAUUUUCUCCUCUUUUUACAUUUGGUAUUACAGCUUCAGUGAAAUUGUCUUCCACUGUUUGCAUAUUUCGGUCUAAGCUUACCCCUGCAUAGACCCAACUGAUCUGGUUAAGUUAAGUUCUCUUACUCUGGCUCUAUCUUCUCAUUUCAGGCAAUGGUGAAAUGCUUACAUUGUUGCCUGGCGUGUAGGAGUUCUUUGCAAUGGUGGCCCAAUCAAUCUUUGUGUUCACAAAUUUUUCAAGCAAUGGACUAUGCUUAGUCGCUUGAGAUACCUAUGAAAACUUAAGAAAGUAGCAAUGGAGGCCACACCAGUGAGUGAAAGAUAUCUCACCUUGAUUUCGAUGAAAGCUCCUGCGCUUGUUUCGUGGAUCUUGGAGAACAAGGACCAAUAAUUGAAUGUGUAUGAAUUGGGGUUCAUUGUCGUUGACCACCUGGUAGCUCCUGAACACUCAGCUUCUUGAUCCCUCCAUGAUGACCUACACAUGAGAUUCAGGCAGUUAGCUUAGCAUUCUCAUUCAGUUAUCUGUCGAUACUUACUCAACCUUUAGAUGAUGAAGUCUAUGACAAUAUCUUUCAUCCGAGCAUUUGAAUUUUGGUUACACUAGCUGCUAUCAUCUAUGAAACUCCUACAAUUAGCUCGACAUGUUCAUCUUCUCUUUACUGGCUGCCACUACACAGCAGUAAGUGCAAUUUUAUUGUGCGAGUGAUUACUACAAGAACUGAUGAUUCUUUACAUUAAAUGUAGAAAGGCUCCCUACUAGCCAACUGAGUGGAUCAGUUCAACGAGAAGCUAAAAGAGGGCUAGAUCUACAGGCUCUAAUCUUUCAUGGUUGUUGGUCCCUGGAACCAAUACAGGACAGCUAAGCACCCUGACAGAAUCAGGAUCCAGAGCCUGAAAACUUACUCUAUAUGCAUACGACGCAAAUUCAUUUGAUGCUAUUCUGCCACGCACAGAAAACAAUAUGCUCUUAUCAGUUUUAGAUAUCGUUGGAGUAGUGAUCAGGCUAACUGAACUUAUUCCAUCAACGGGUGAUGGAGAACCAAGAAGGCAUGUCUACUUAAAGGAUGAAAGGUCUAACAUACAGUAUAGGGGAACCACUACAAGCUAGCAUAGUAGUCACCGAAGUAGAUGAUCCACAUACAGGUGGACUUAUUCAUGCAAACUCUGCUUGAGAAAAAAUGGUUCCAGCCGGAAAUUCACGCCGAUGUCCCAGCUGCUGCUCCAAGGAAGAGCAACACAUGUAAAAAAAACAGGUGGAGGCGCUAGGAAAAAAGGAAUUGGAGGGUCGUGCAACUCCUUCCUCAAAUGGAGUAGACAUGCGGAAGAGGGAAGAGGCAAAGAUGAUGAAACCUUCACAGUAAUAAACAUGCGGGCAUUCCUAAGGAACCAUCCCGAAUUGGCAAAGAUCUACAAGCCAUGAUUGUUUUUAAUAUUGCUCUCAGUUUUUGUAAUAAGAUAUCUUAAUCUGUUUACCUUAUUACAACCAGAUUCAUUUGUAUUGACAAUUUUUGGAUGGGUUGUUGUUCCUCUCAUUUGCAUACAAGUUUCCAUUUUAUGUAACUGCUAUGUACUGGUGUAACCCCAAUUGACUGGCCAAACAAUGCUCACAUUACUAGCAUAUAUGCAUUAGUUACAACUAAAAGAUGUAGUGCAAAAGCCAUGACUUUACAGCGCAUGCAC